CUGUUGGAGGGCCUUAAAUCUUAACAGCAUGUUUAAUACACCCCUAAUCGGUGGGUCCCACCUAAUCCCUCUCUAUUCUGUCGUUUGGUACAAUGUAUUGCUAAUACGCGUGUAAUCCAUUACUUUCCUAAUCGGUGAAAACCAGCGAUUUCUAUCCCUCCUCUUUUGCCCAGAUUAGCUACCGCUUCAGCAAACCGUCCCUGUUUUACCCUCCCCCGAUCCCCUUUGUUUCUCUUCUGUUCCUUCUAGCUUCAUCCGAUUUAUUUCCUUGUUUCUUUGCUUUUCUUUUUUGCCGAUUUGCUCCCAGUUUAUUUUCUUUGCAUUUGUAACAUGGGCAUUUCCUUCCUUAGCUGUGAAACUGAAAAGUCUCUCUUACUUUCUCUCCCUCCCUCGAGUAUCUUCUCUUCGCAGGCAAACAAACAUAGCUCAAUUUCUUUUCUUAUUCCGAGUCUUGGUUAUCAGCUAAGCGCUUCUUGUGGAUUGUGAAGUGUGAUAUUUGUUUUUGGCUCUGUUGAUGGUUAAAUUAUUCUUUAUUCACGCAAAAGAGGAGCCUAGCCAACUACAAUAAAAGCAUCUGCGAAACUGAUAGUAAUCACAAUAGAGAAGUAUUCUGGAUAAGUAAUCACUACACUCAAACCCCAGUUGCAAGCAAGCAUCUUGUUGGUGGAGGUAAGAUUAAGGGAAGGAAGGGCUGUCAACAUUCACAUGUUUUGUGCUCGCAGGCCAGGUCUCUUGCUCUCCACCAUGAGAGCUCUAGACAACCUUGGAUUGGACAUACAACAAGCUGUAAUCAGCUGUUUUAAUGGGUUUGCACUGGAUGUUUUCCGAGCUGAGGUAUUUACUGCAAGUGAUGAACAGAAUUUAUCGUGAGGUGUGUUUUCCUUAAAGUUUAGUUUCGGAUCUGGUGAUGCUGAACAAAGACAAUAUGAAAAUUGGGAAAUUGGAGCUAUGCGAGUACCACAAUUGUAGCUUUGUUAAACAAGCAUUACAGUACCAGCUAAUCUGGAAGUCUGCAUAUCAUCUAAAAAAUAGAAAAGUUGUAAGGUGUUUGGUUUGUUGGUGGAUAUUAAUAUUUGGAUGAAGAAUUCAGUAAUUUUGAUUUGGUGUUUGACAAAUGACAGCAAUGCAGGGAAGGCCAGGAUGUAUUGCCUGAGCAAAUCAAAGCAGUACUUUUGGAUUCAGCAGGGUUCCGUGGGAUAAUGUGAGGGUGAAUGGUUGGCCUAUUAUGAUGGUAUUGGUAUGAACAGAGGCAAUAGUAAAUGUUGAUGUAAAGUAAUUAGUUGCUUCUCAUCCCAGUGGUGAAGCAAAUUUUACAAGGUAGUGAGCUUUGUAGGUAGCGCAAGCAAGUAGGCAAACAAUUGAUUUCUUAGUUAUUGUAUCACUUGAGAAUGAAGUUGAUUCUGAUGGAGGUUUUUAUUUAUUAUAUUUAUUUUCUUUUUUCUUUUGGGUUAA